AGCCCGGUACUGUAAUGGCAGCAGUCCGCUCUGAUACGGCGGCAGCGGUGGUUCGAUUCCACCUCGGGCUA
rnacentral:tRNA from 1 species